ACGAACGUUGGCGGCGUGGAUUAGGCAUGCAAGUCGAGGGAGGCCAGCGGGUAGCAAUAUCUGCUGAGUCGACCGGCGUAAGGGGCAGUAAUGCGUGGGUAACGUACCCUUCGGUUCGGGACACUCGGGUAAUACCGGUAAAUACCGGAUAACGUAGGCGACUACCAAAGAUUUAUCGCCGGAGGAGCGGCUCACGUCGUAUUAGCUUGUUGGCGGGGUAACGGCCCACCAAGGCAAAGAUGCGUAGCGGGUGUGAGAGCAUGACCCGCGCCACUGGCACUGAGACACUGGCCAGACACCUACGGGUGGCUGCAGUCGAGGAUCUUCCCCAAUGGGCGCAAGCCUGAGGGAGCGACGCCGCGUGCGGGAUGAAGGCCUUCGGGUUGUAAACCGCUUUAGGGGGGGAGGAAGCCGCAAGGUUGACCUAUCCCCAAAAUAAGCACGGGCUAAGUUCGUGCCAGCAGCCGCGGUAAGACGAACCGUGCGAACGUUGUUCGGAUUCACUGGGCUUAAAGGGUGUGUAGGCGGUCUGCCAAGUCAGGGGUAAAAUCUUUCGGCUCAACCGGAAAACUGCCUUUGAUACUGGCAGGCUCGAGCGGGGUAGGGGUUGCGGGAACUACCAGUGGAGCGGUGAAAUGCGUUGAUAUUGGUAGGAACGCCGGUGGCGAAAGCGCGCAAUCUGGACCUCUUCUGACGCUGAAACACGAAAGCUAGGGGAGCAAACGGGAUUAGAUACCCCGGUAGUCCUAGCCUUAAACGAUGAGGACUAGGUUGUGGACUAGACAUGGGUUCACAGCCGAAGCAAAAGUGCUAAGUCCUCCGCCUGGGGAGUAUGGUCGCAAGGCUGAAACUCAAAGGAAUUGACGGGGGCUCACACAAGCGGUGGAGCAUGUGGCUUAAUUCGAGGCUACGCGAAGAACCUUAUCCUAGGCUUGACAUGUGCGAAAGCGUCAGGAAGUAGCUGCCGGAAACGGCCAGCCAACGGUAUCCAAUCCGGAACCUGAUACAGGUGCUGCAUGGCUGUCGUCAGCUCGUGUCGUGAGAUGUCGGGUUAAGUCCCAUAACGAGCGAAACCCUUGCUUCUAGUUGCCAGCGGGUCAUGCCGGGGACUCUAGAAGGACUGCCGGUGUUAAACCGGAGGAAGGCGGGGAUGACGUCAAGUCCUCAUGGCCUUUAUGCCUAGGGCUGCACACGUGCUACAAUGCGGCGUACAAAGGGAAGCAAACGCGCGAGCGGGAGCCAAUCUCAAAAAACGUCGCUCAGUUCAGAUUGAAGGCUGCAACUCGCCUUCAUGAAGCUGGAAUCGCUAGUAAUCGCGGAUCAGCAAUGCCGCGGUGAAUGUGUUCCUGAGCCUUGUGCACACCGCCCGUCAAGCCACGAAAGGGAGGGGCGCCCGAAGUCGUUACACUAAGUAAUGCCGAAGGCGAAACUCCUGAUUGGGACUAAGUCGUAAC
rnacentral:rRNA from 1 species